rnacentral:rRNA from 1 species
GAUGAACGCUGGCGGCGUGCCUAAUACAUGCGAGUCGAGCGAACGGACGAGAAGCUUGCUUCUCUGAUGUUAGCGGCGGACGGGUGAGUAACACGUGGAUAACCUACCUAUAAGACUGGGAUAACUUCGGGAAACCGUAGCUAAUACCGGAUAAUAUUUUGAACCGCAUGGUUCAAAAGUGAAAGACGGUCUUGCUGUCACUUAUAGAUGGAUCCGCGCUGCAUUAGCUAGUUGGUAAGGUAACGGCUUACCAAGGCAACGAUGCAUAGCCGACCUGAGAGGGUGAUCGGCCACACUGGAACUGAGACACGGUCCAGACUCCUACGGGAGGCAGCAGUAGGGAAUCUUCCGCAAUGGGCGAAAGCCUGACGGAGCAACGCCGCGUGAGUGAUGAAGGUCUUCGGAUCGUAAAACUCUGUUAUUAGGGAAGGACAUAUGUGUAAGUAACUGUGCACAUCUUGACGGUACCUAAUCAGAAAGCCACGGCUAACUACGUG